UGCGUCGAUUGUCGUUUCAUUUAUCUGGUAAUGAUGUAUUCACUUCAUCAAAAUUUUUAACGUUAACAACUUGGCUGAUAACAAUAGUUGAAAUUUAAAUCAGAAUAAAAUCAAUUCAUGUAAAGUAAAAUAAAUUCCAUUAUACUUUAUUUUGACCACAUGAUCAACACUUGUAUAUAGUGCCAUUUACUUUGUGUUGUUCACUCUCGCGCUGUGUUGUGAUCGUUCGAAACUCAUCGCCAGAACGAAUGCAAAUUUCAUAUGGGAAGGAUUGGUGCCGGUAGAUGCAGCGAAAAUUAUUAAAUGAUAAUAGAAAAGUGGUUAAGUAAAUCGUGAAAGAUGUCAACGCAGGCGUAAAUGCAGUAUGUUUUGUUACAUGAUCUACGGCUAUUUCAUUGCCAAAGCUCCUGAUAACAUAUCAAAGCAGAUGGAUCGGGCUUACAGAGUCGCCAUUUAACUUAAAAUAUCUUCGUGAUCGGAAAACGCAUCAAACAGCAAGUGUUUUUCUUCCAACAGCACGCGCCAUCGGUGGAGCAAGCAGCCAACGUUUUGAUCGCCAGUACGCGCCAUCAAGAAUUGAAAUAUUCCCGAAUAGCUCUGUGAAUAAAAAACUGCACACUUACUGUCCGAAUUUCCUGGAAUUUUUUGAUCGGUCUACGCUCGCGGGAAUGGUGGGUCCGUUUGGGAGAAGGAAAGAAAGGGUGGGAGCGAGGAUUACCCAAAAACGCGGCAUUGAGAAUGCCUCCCCUCAUUCUCAGCUCAGUGCUCAGCGCUCACGCUGGGUCAUUCAGGGCGCUGGGUCUUUUUGUGAAGGUAGCUCGCAACAAACGAUCGACAGCACGGUUCGUGUACGUGUAGGUGUGGAUUGCUGGAAGGUUGCUGGUAGCUGGUUGCUGGUAGCUGCAGCUGCGGGAAGGGCUGUAUUGCUGGAAGGUUGCUGGUAGCUGGUUGCUGGUAGCUGCAGCUGCGGGAAUGGCUGUAUUGCUGGAAGGUUGCUGGUAGCUGGUUGCUGGUAGCUGCAGCUGCGGGAAGGGCUGUAUUGCUGGAAGGUUGCUGGUAGCUGGUUGCUGGUAGCUGCAGCUGCGGGAAGGGCUGUAUUGCUGGAAGGUUGCUGGUAGCUGGUUGCUGGUAGCUGCAGCUGCUGGUGUUUCAUCGUUCCGGUACGCCACGAAGACCUCAAAGUUUUUUGUUAUAUAAAAAUAAACAAAAAGAAAGAAAGAAAA